ACUAAAACAACUAUAAGAAAAAAAAGUAUAAAUUCUUCUGCCAUAGAGCAAAUCACGUCCUUUCUAUAGAGUGUAAUCAAGUGUGUUCCGUAAAACCUGACUGGAAGCUGACACCAGAAGAGAGAUAACUGCUGGCUUUUCCUAGUUCCUUCUUACACAGGUUGCAUGUGCAUUGCUCAUGGCGGGUGAGAAUCUGGAAAACCAUGUUGAUGUGAAGAACAUUCUUGUUGAGAUGGGAACCUACUUUCAAGUACCGGAUGAUUAUUUGGAUUGCUUUGGGGAUCCUGAUACUAUUGGAAAGAUAGGUACAGAUAUUGAAGAUUUUAAAUGCUCUUGGUUAGUUGCGAAAGCUUUGAAGCUUAGCAAUGAGCAACAAAAGAAA
rnacentral:sRNA from 1 species